rnacentral:tRNA from 1 species
GCAUUGGUGAUUCAGAGGUAGAAUUCUCAACUUCUUUGCAAGAGACCCUGGUUUGAUUCCUGGCCAAUGCA